UACGUAGGGACCAAGCGUUUGUUCGGAUUUACUGGGCGUAAAGGGCGCGUAGGCGGCGUGGUAAGUCACUUGUGAAAUCUCUGAGCUUAACUCAGAACGGCCAAGUGAUACUGCUGUGCUAGAGUGCAGAAGGGGCAAUCGGAAUUCUUGGUGUAGCGGUGAAAUGCGUAGAUAUCAAGAGGAACACCUGAGGUGAAGACGGGUUGCUGGGCUGACACUGACGCUGAUGCGCGAAAGCCAGGGGAGCAAACGGG
rnacentral:rRNA from 1 species